rnacentral:rRNA from 1 species
CCUAACACAUGCAAGUCGAACGGUAACAGGAAGAAGCUUGCUUCUUUGCUGACGAGUGGCGGACGGGUGAGUAAUGUCUGGGAAACUGCCUGAUGGAGGGGGAUAACUACUGGAAACGGUAGCUAAUACCGCAUAACGUCGCAAGACCAAAGAGGGGGACCUUCGGGCCUCUUGCCAUCGGAUGUGCCCAGAUGGGAUUAGCUAGUAGGUGGGGUAACGGCUCACCUAGGCGACGAUCCCUAGCUGGUCUGAGAGGAUGACCAGCCACACUGGAACUGAGACACGGUCCAGACUCCUACGGGAGGCAGCAGUGGGGAAUAUUGCACAAUGGG